rnacentral:rRNA from 1 species
GGGGGGGGGGGGGCUGCUACACAUGCAAGUCGAACGGACUUAUAACGAAACCUAGUGAAUUAUAAGUUAGUGGCGCACUGAUGAGUAACGCGUGGAAAACCUGCCGUAUACUGGGGCCAUAACACUUAGAAAUAGGUGCUAAUACCGCAUAAGCGCACGGUUUCGCAUGGAACAGUGUGAAAAACUCCGGUGGUAUGGGAUGGACCCGCGUCUGAUUAGCUGGUUGGCGGGGUAACGGCCCACCAAGGCGACGAUCAGUAGCCGGCCUGAGAGGGUGAACGGCCACAUUGGGACUGAGACACGGCCCAAACUCCUACGGGAGGCAGCAGUGGGGAAUAUUGCACAAUGGGGGAAACCCUGAUGCAGCGACGCCGCGUGAAGGAAGAAGUAUUUCGGUAUGUAAACUUCUAUCAGCAGGGAAGAAAAUGACGGUACCUGACUAAGAAGCCCCGGCUAACUACGUGCCAGCAGCCGCGGUAAUACGUAGGGGGCAAGCGUUAUCCGGAUUUACUGGGUGUAAAGGGAGCGUAGGCGGCGAUGCAAGUCAGAAGUGAAAGCCCGGGGCUCAACUCCGGGACUGCUUUUGAAACUGUGUUGCUAGAUUGCAGGAGGGGUAAGUGGAAUUCCUAGUGUAGCGGUGAAAUGCGUAGAUAUUAGGAGGAACACCAGUGGCGAAGGCGGCUUACUGGACUGUAAAUGACGCUGAGGCUCGAAAGCGUGGGGAGCAAACAGGAUUAGAUACCCUGGUAGUCCACGCCGUNAACGAUGAAUACUAGGUGUUAGGGAGCAAAGCUCUUUGG